CUGUGGAGACCUGCUGGAGCUGCAGCACAAGCUGCUCAGUCUAAUUCAGCAAACAUAUAUCGGAGGACAGAGACAGAUGAUUUGUGAGGCACCAAAGGGAAGCAGAGCUGACAAAGAGACUUGCGGGCCUCUACCUGACUGUACAGAUGUGCGUCCCCAUGUGCCGAUAAAAGGACGGAGCCGAUAGAGGGAUUGACAGUAUGAUGGAGGAAGAGAAGACGGGGAAAGAGAGAACCAACCUCACCCCGAAGGUAUGGAUGAGCUUCUCAUCACUCUCUUACUGUCUCAUCAUCAUGUUGACUGGCACGCCUGAGGACACGAGACAGCCAGACAUAGUCACGGGCAGACCUGCAGGUUGACUUCUCAGUGGUAUGGCAGGUCUGAGUGUAUCUUAGAGGGUCACGACCCUCCCAGGCUGUGACCUGGACAAACAGGACUGAGGAGCUGCAACAGGACAUGGAAUGUCCCUUUUGUUUUUGUUUUGUUUCACUUUUUUGUUGAAAAGGUGGAAAAUUCCUCCCACUGCACUUGCUGGAGCAAAAGAAAACAUUUUCUUGGCAACGAAUGAGGCAGAGUUUACAUAAGAAACUUUAUGUGACUGCAACAAAAAUUAUAACGCUCAGGCAGUGCUCUCUGUUGUAACUGAGGAUGCAUAACUUUUUCUUUUCCCUUUGUGAAUGUCAUCUUCUAAGCAACUGAAAAUGUGAUUUAUUUUAAGAGCAGCACUUUUUCUUUGUGAACAUAUUUUUGGUGUUAGCACAGCCACUUGUCUGCAUUAUCUGUAUGUCCCACAUUAUAUAUGUUCUAUGCGACUGGUGCCAUGUGGAACCAAUUGUUUCCUAAUAA